GGUUAAAUUGUGUAUUUUUGCAGAGAGAAUGCUUGAUUUUCAUUUAAAUGAGGGAUUUCUUGCAGAGACAAUGCUUGAUUUUUGUUUAAAUGAGGGAUUUUGGCAGAGAACAUGCGUGAUUUUGGGGUUAAACGGGGAUUUCUGCAAAGAAAAAAAAUCAUGAUUCUGAGGUAAAAUUCGGUGUAGUUGAAGGGAAAAUGCAUGAUUUUCGGUUAAAUGGGGGAUUUCGGAAGAGAAAAUGCGUGUUGUUUGAGAUAAACGGGGGAUUUUUGUAGAGCGAAUGCAUGAUUUUCGGGUUAAAGAUCCAAAAAAUGGAAUGAAUGGGGAUUUAAGGAAAAAUUUCACGUUAAAUGGGGGAUUUUCCAAGAGAAAAUGUGUAAUUUCCAGGUUAAAUGGGGGGUUUUGGAAGAGAAAAUGUGUGACUUUUGGUUAAAUGGGGGGUUUUCCAGAGAAAAUGCAUGACUUUCUGUUAAAUGGAGGAUUUUUGUGGUAAAAAUGCGUGGUUUCCAGGUUAAAGCAGGGAUUUCGAUGAGAAAAUACAUGAUUUUGGGGUUAAUUUUUUUUUUUUUUUUUUAAGGGAAAACUUGUGAUUUUUGAUUAAUUAUGUAUUUUUGAAGUGAAAAUGCGUGAUUUUCAGGUUAGAUCAGGGAUUCUUGAAGAGAAAAUGCAUCAUUGUCGGGUUACAUGGGGGAUUUCCACAGAGAAAUAGCCUUUUUUUCCUGGUUAAAUGGGGGAUUUUCAAGAGAAAAUGCAUGAUUUUCAGGUUACAUGGGAGAUUCUUGUAGCGCAAGUGUUUGAUUUUGGGGUUAAAUGAGGGAUUUUUGAAGAGAAAAUGAGUGAUUUUCGAGUUAAAUGGGUGAUUUUCCAAGAGAAAAUGCGUGAUUUUCAGAUUAAAUGGGGGAUUGUUGAAGGGAAAAUGUGUGAUUUUCGGGUUAAAUGGGGGAUUUCGAAGAGAAAAUGGUGAUUUGGUUAAAUGGGGGAUUUCUAGAGAAAAUGUGUGAUUUGGGGGAUAAUGGGGGUAUUUUUGGAGAGAAAAUGCAUGAUUUGGGGGUAAAUGCGUAUUUUCCAAGAGAAAAGGUGAGGUUUUUGAGUUAAAUGGGGGGUUUCCAAGAGAAAUGCGUGAUUUUGGGGUUAAACGGGGGAUUGUUGAAGAGAAAACGCGCAAUUUUGGUUUAAACAGCAAGUUUUGAAGAGAAUAUGCGUGAUUUUCAGUUUAAAUCAGGGAUUCUGAAAGAGAAAAUGUGUGAUUUUUGUUUAAAUGGGGUAUUUUGGAAGGGAAAAUGCAUGAUUUUCGGGUAAAAUGGGGGGUUUUCGAAGAGGAAAUGCUUCGUUCAGGUUAAAUUGGGGGUUUUCGAAGCCAAAAUGUGCGAUUUUCACUUAAAUGGGGGAUUUUCCAAACGAAAAUGCAUGAUUUCUUUUUAGAUGGGGGAUUUUCAUAGAGAAAAGGCAUGAUUUUUGUGUUAAGUGGGGGAUAUUUGCAA
rnacentral:lncRNA from 7 species